AUUAAAUAUUAAAAAAAUAAUUGGACAUGACUUUUGAAAGUGGCAGGAUUGGAUAGUGAAAACUUUAGGGUACAAACAUUAUUCAAUACUUGAGAAAUAGCCGAGAUAAUAUUUUCACCAAUUUUUCAACAAUAUUCGUCUUAACUUCUGCCAAGUUUGCCUCUGCUUUUUUUACUUAACUGCCUACAGCGCCUUUGGUGCUUUGAUUUUUCUGUUGAACCAAUAUGA
rnacentral:lncRNA from 1 species